UCCUACGGGAGGCAGCAGUCGAGAAUCUUCGGCAAUGAGCGCAAGCUUGACCGAGCGACGCCGCGUGCGGGAUGAAGGCCUUCGGGUUGUAAACCGCUUUCAGUGGGGAGGAAAUCGCUAGGGGUUCUCCCCUAGUGUUGACCUAUCUUCAGAAGAAGGACGGGCUAAGUUCGUGCCAGCAGCCGCGGUA
rnacentral:rRNA from 1 species